rnacentral:SRP_RNA from 1 species
ACCAGGUGGGGUGGGGCAUGCCUGUAGUCCCAGCUACUCAGGAGGCUGAGGCGGAAGAAUCGCUUGAGCCCAGGAGUUCUGGGCUGUAGUACGCUAUGCUGAUCGGGUGUCUGCACAAAGUUCGGCAUCAAUAUGGUGACCUCCAGGGAGCAGGGGACCACCAGGUUGCCUAAGGAGGGGUGAAACUGCCCAGGUCGGAAAUGGAACAGGUCAAAACUCCUGUGCUGAUCAGUAGUGGGAUCAUGCCUGUGAAUAGCCACUGCACUCCAGCCUGGGCAACAUAGCAAGACCCCAUCUCU